UUAAAUCAGAAAGCAAGUACUCUUCCAUGACAGUCUAGGAACAUUCCUUCCUAACUAGACAAAAGCUAAAAAAGGAGCCAAGCACCAUAAUAAUAAAUACUACUAUCAACCAAAACUGGGAAUACAGGGGACAAGCAAAGGGAAAGGAUAUUUCUGCAGAAGCUCCACCAGUUAUUGCAUUCCGCCUUAUCCCAAUUGUUAUGGAAAGCCCGCAUGAUGCAAGGCUUCCGCAGGAGAGUGGUCAGUAUAAAGUUAACUUUGAUCAAUUGAUCAAUAGAGUUUCGACACACAGGUCAGGAGGUAAUCUCUUCAACGUAUCAGCACUAUAUUGAUGAAUUAUUCAAUUGAUUAACAUGUCCGCAUGUAGUGAAGAAGAUCACAUGGCCACAGUAGGAAGUGCCAUACCAGACAAGACCUGUUUCUAUUCCAUCCUAUUGCCGCUCUUGGAACCCAUUCUCCACCCAAGCGCCAUCGGACCAUCCUCCCUCGGCUUCAGAAACAGAUGUUAUCCUGCUCAACGUAAUACUAUACUCCGGACUAUGAGAAUGAGGCCUUUAUUUCCACGUCCAGGAGUCACC
rnacentral:lncRNA from 1 species